rnacentral:ncRNA from 2 species
AGGUAGGCUAUCACGGGUAACGGGCGGUUACCGUCGGACUGCCGGAGAAGGCGCCUGAGAGAUAGCGACUAUAUCCACGGGUAGCAGCAGGCGCGAAACUUUCCCACUCGAGACUUUCGGAGGAGGUAAUGACCAGUUCCAUUGGUGCCUUUUGGUACUGUGGAUAGGGGUACGGUUUUCCACCGUACCGAAACCUAGCAGAGGGCCAGUCUGGUGCCAGCAGCUGCGGUAAUUCCAGCUCUGCGAGUUUGCUCCCAUAUUGUUGCAGUUAAAACGCCCGUAGUCUGAAUUGGCCAGCAAUGGUCGUACGUAUUUUUACGUUCACUGUGAACAAAUCAGGACGCUUAGAGUAUGGCCACAUGAAUGACUCAGCGCAGUAUGAAGUCUUUGUUUUCUUCCGAAAACAAGCUCAAUGAGAGCCAUCGGGGGUAGAUCUAUCUCAUGACGAGUGGUGGAAUACUUUGACUCAUGAGAGAGAAGCUGAGGCGAAGGCGUCUACCUAGAGGGUUUCUGUCGAUCAAGGGCGAGAGUAGGAGUAUCCAACAGGAUUAGAGACCCUGGUAGUUCCUACCUUAAACGAUGCCGACAGGAGUUUGUCAUUUGUUAAUGGCAGAAUCUUUGGAGAAAUCAUAGUUCUUGGGCUCUGGGGGAACUACGACCGCAAGGCUGAAACUUGAAGGAAUUGACGGAAGGGCACACCAGGGGUGGAGCCUGUGGCUUAAUUUGAAUCAACACGGGGAAACUUACCAGGACCAGAUGUUUUUUAUGACUGACAGGCUUCGGGUCUUUCAGGAUAUUGUUUUUGGUGGUGCAUGGCCGUUGGUGGUGCGUGGGUUGACCUGUCUAGCGUUGAUUCAGCUAACGAGCGAGAUUAUCGCCAAUUAUUUACUUUGCCGAAGUCCUUCGGUUAAAGUUCUAAUUGGGACUCCCUGCGAUUUUAGCAAGUGGAAGAGGGUAGCAAUAACAGGUCCGUGAUGCCCUUUAAAUGCUCUGGGCUGC